GGGCUGCUGGGCUGAUUUCGCGUGUAACGGGCUCAGGCCCAGUAAGGGCUGGGCGGAGGCGUUUCUUCUGCCUACUUUCCCGAGGGCGACACUCGGUUGGGCCACCUGAACCCCCAGAGUCCCCGCAGGUUGCUAGGCAACCCCGGAAGCCCCCAGGGACGUAGUAGGGCGAGGACCUAAGGUGGCGAAAGCGGAUGCAGCGGGUGUCAAAACUGGCUUUCAGCUCCACCUCCACCUCCACAUUUACAGGUUCCUGGGUUCCUCUGACUGCAAGUUGGGAAGAAAGAUAAUAGCGUAAAGGAAAAAAAUGUUGCGUGCCAUUCCAGUUCUACAAGGAUCAAGCCAUUAGCCACUGCAAUUGACCACCAACAGUGUGCCCCGAGGGGAAUUCAGGAUGGAGGAAAACAGGAAACUUUCUGUACUUCGGAUAUACUGAUCCUUAGAUAGAAAGAAACAUUUGAGGUAUACACAAGAAACUACUGAAAGAGAACAGAGAAUAGUAUACACAAAAGUACCCAUACAGAAAAGCAUACAGCUCAAUAAAUUUUCGGAAAUUGAACACCCCCAUAUAACCAGCACCCAGAUCAAGAAACAGAACAUUACCAACACCCUAGGAGACCCGCCUGUGCUCCCUUCCAAGCACCACCCUCUUCCUAAAAGGUAAUUGCUAUCCUGACUUCUAAUACCACAGAGCAGUUUUACCUGUUUCUGUAUUUUCUGUAAAUGGAAUCACACAGUACGUACUC